rnacentral:rRNA from 1 species
UACGUAGGGGGCAAGCGUUGUCCGGAUUCAUUGGGCGUAAAGCGCGUGUAGGCGGCCAGGUAGGUCUGCUGUGAAAACUCGAGGCUUAACCUCGAGCUGUCGGCGGAAACCAUCUGGCUAGAGUCCGGAAGAGGAGAAUGGAAUUCCCGGUGUAGCGGGUGAAAUGCGCAGAUAUCAGGAAGAACACCGGUGGCGAAGGCGGUGAGCUGGGGCAGUUGCUG